GUAGAAGAAAAGAGUUGGCAUCCAGAAAA
rnacentral:piRNA from 1 species